CGGGGUGAGUAAUGUCUGGGAAACUGCCUGAUGGAGGGGGAUAACUACUGGAAACGGUAGCUAAUACCGCAUAACGUCGCAAGACCAAAGAGGGGGACCUCGGGCCUCUUGCCAUCGGAUGUGCCCAGAUGGGAUUAGCUAGUAGGUGGGGUAACGGCUCACCUAGGCGACGAUCCCUAGCUGGUCUGAGAGGAUGAUCAGCCACACUGGGACUGAGACACGGCCCAG
rnacentral:rRNA from 1 species